rnacentral:rRNA from 1 species
UACGUAGGGGGCAAGCGUUGUCCGGAUUUAUUGGGCGUAAAGAGCGUGUAGGCGGUCAGGUAGGUCCGUUGUGAAAACUCGAGGCUCAACCUCGAGACGCCGAUGGAAACCAUCUGACUAGAGUCCGGAAGAGGAGAGUGGAAUUCCUGGUGUAGCGGUGAAAUGCGGCAGAUAUCAGGAAGAACACCAGUGGCGAAGGCGGCUCCACUGGCCCGGUAACUGACGCUGGAGGUGCGAAAGCGUGGGGAGCAAACAGG